rnacentral:rRNA from 1 species
AUACGGAGGGUGCAAGCGUUGUCCGGAUUUAUUGGGUUUAAAGGGUGCGUAGGUGGUUUUUUAAGUCAGUGGUGAAAGCCUACAGCUUAACUGUAGAGGUGCCAUUGAAACUGGGAAACUUGAGUAUGGACGAGGUAGGCGGAAUUUGUGGUGUAGCGGUGAAAUGCAUAGAUACCACAAAGAACACCGAUAGCGAAGGCAGCUUACUAGGCCAUAACUGACACUGAGGCACGAAAGUGUGGGGAGCGAACAGGAUUAGAAACCCCUGUAGUCC